GAUGAACGCUGGCGGCGUGCUUAACACAUGCAAGUCGAACGGUGAAAGAGAGCUUGCUCUCUGGAUCAGUGGCGAACGGGUGAGUAACACGUGAGCAAUCUGCCCCUGACUCUGGGAUAAGCGCUGGAAACGGCGUCUAAUACCGGAUACGAGCUGCGAAGGCAUCUUCAGCAGCUGGAAAGAACUUCGGUCAGGGAUGAGCUCGCGGCCUAUCAGCUAGUUGGUGAGGUAACGGCUCACCAAGGCGUCGACGGGUAGCCGGCCUGAGAGGGUGACCGGCCACACUGGGACUGAGACACGGCCCAGACUCCUACGGGAGGCAGCAGUGGGGAAUAUUGCACAAUGGGCGCAAGCCUGAUGCAGCAACGCCGCGUGAGGGACGACGGCCUUCGGGUUGUAAACCUCUUUUAGCAGGGAAGAAGCGAAAGUGACGGUACCUGCAGAAAAAGCACCGGCUAACUACGUGCCAGCCGCCGCAGUAAGAC
rnacentral:rRNA from 1 species